AUUGAACGCUGGCGGCAUGCCUAACACAUGCAAGUCGAACGGUAACGCGGGGGCAACCCUGGCGACGAGUGGCGGACGGGUGAGUAAUACGUAGGAAUCUGCCCAUUUGUGGGGGAUAACCCGGCGAAAGCCGGGCUAAUACCGCAUACGCUCUACGGAGGAAAGCGGGGGAUCGUAAGACCUCGCGCUAAUGGAUGAGCCUACGUCGGAUUAGCUAGUUGGUGGGGUAAUGGCCUACCAAGGCGACGAUCCGUAGCUGGUCUGAGAGGACGAUCAGCCACACUGGGACUGAGACACGGCCCAGACUCCUACGGGAGGCAGCAGUGGGGAAUAUUGGACAAUGGGGGCAACCCUGAUCCAGCAAUGCCGCGUGUGUGAAGAAGGCCUGCGGGUUGUAAAGCACUUUCAGAGGGGAAGAAAAAAGUCGGGGCUAAUACCUCCGAUCUUGACGUUACCCUUAGAAGAAGCACCGGCUAACUCCGUGCCAGCAGCCGCGGUAAUACGGA
rnacentral:rRNA from 1 species